ACCCAGCUGGCUCAGUCGGUGAAGUGUGUGACUCUUGAUCUCGGGGUUGUGAGUUCAAACCCCACGUUGGGUG
rnacentral:tRNA from 1 species